rnacentral:rRNA from 1 species
CGCAGCCGCGGUAAUUCCAGCUCCAAUAGCGUAUAUUAAAGUUGCUGCAGUUAAAAAGCUCGUAGUUGAAUUUCGGGACCAUCAUGUCGGUCGUGCCUCGGUACGUACUGGCAUUGUUGGUUUCUACCUUCUGACGAACCAUGAUGUCAUUUAUUUGGUGUCGUGGGAAAUCAGGACUGUUACUUUGAAAAAAUUAGAGUGUUUAAAGCAGGCUCACGCUUGAAUACAUUAGCAUGGAAUAAUGAAAUAGGACGUUUGAUUCUAUUUUGUUGGUUUCUAGGAUCGACGUAAUGAUUAAUAGGGAUAGUUGGGGGCAUUAGUAUUCAAUUGUCAGAGGUGAAAUUCUUGGAUUUAUUGAAGACUAACUACUGCGAAAGCAUUUGCCAAGGAUGUUUUCAUUAAUCAAGAACGAAAGUUAGGGGAUCGAAGACGAUCAGAUACCGUCGUAGUCUUAACCAUAAACUAUGCCGACUAGGGAUCGGAUGAUGUUAAUUUUUUAAUGACUCAUUCGGCGCCUUAC